CCCGCUGAACUUAAGCAUAUUACUUAGCGGAGGAAAAGAAACUAGUAAGGAUUGCCCUAGUAAUGGCGAGUGAACGGAUA